rnacentral:pre_miRNA from 1 species
UAGAGCGAGCCCGGCGUGUGAUCUUAUUGGUAGUGUGGUUGUUAAUCUAUCAUAAGACACACGCGGCUCUCUCUC